ACAGUGGAAGAUCCACUAACGAAUCAGAAGAAGUAACAGAUGGCGAUGGCUGAUGGGUGGCGGGUGCAGGGAGUUGAGGCGGAGGAUUCACGAAAUCAUCGAAGCUUCCCCCUUGCAGCACAAGGGGCAUCUCCUUACUUGUCGUCAUAACAGUUUUGUUUCGUUGUGCGAGAAAUUGUGGAUUAGGACAAGGUUUGGACCCAACUUUGGCGGUCCGGAAUUCUUCGAUUCAGCUGGACUGGAAGGUCGAACAGGAUUGGCACAUUGAAGUGGCAGUUGAAGCAAGAGCAGGUUGGCUCGGCCCAUUUCCGCCAGCGUUUAUUGCGGAAGCAGUUGUUACUGGGAUUCUCUCAGGUAUUGGCUCCGGAAUCUUCUCCGGUAUUGUCUCUGGGAUUUUUUCUUGGAAUGCAUCCAGAAUUUGGUUUGGAGUUCUCUCCGGGAUUGUUCCCAGAAUAUCAACUUGCUCAUGGAUUUUUUUCUCAUUUUCUUCAGUCUGAUCUUUUAAAUUCAACAACAAACAAUCGGCUUCUGUCGCCGUUUGUUGUUGUUCUGAUUGUCUUGAUGGCCCACUCUGAAUUCCGUCAUCGUUUAUUGCCGAAGCGGGUGUUUCAGGUGACGGCUUUGGUGCCGAAUUCAAGGGCCAAAACAGGUGGAUUAUCUUGGAGCAAAUGAAUCCCCAUACGAUAAAUCCGACAAGUUCAAGUAUAGUUUCGUACAUCUUUCACGUAGUUUUGCAGGCAGCUUCGAAUCCCCCUCCUAUAUAUCACCUUUGAGAGACUAAACGAGUCUGCAACUUAGGGAAAGUCCUCUAUAGUUAAGAUAUUUGAUCAAAAAAACAAAAAAAUAUCGUUAUUUUAAUUGAAUUCCACUUUAGUAUUUUACUUCCCACAUUUUUCAUAAAGAAAAUUUAUUCUUUUCAUUGAUUUUAAUUUCUUAAAUCGUUUUCUAAAGUAGACGGGGACUCGAUUGUGCAAUGUGUGCACAAUUCGAUUGUGCAACAAACGACUCCUAGUAGCAAAAUUUCGAACUGCAUGAAAAUUUUUAUUCCUCGAACGUCGUCUGCUCGAAACUGAACGUGAUUACGUGAGGCCGUUACGUGAAAAAGUGAGUUCCGCCAGUUUUUUUUUUAUAUAAUAAUAUGAUAAGGGAUGGUCGUAGUACUUUUUCUUAAUUGCUAUUCGUGUUGACAAUUGCCGAUAUAGUCUAUCUUUAAUACAGCACUGAGUGAAACUGUAUCAAUACUCUUUGCAGUGUACCUGAACGUUAGAAAAGGUAAUUCUAGCUUGGAUUCUCUACGACAAGGUUACUUAAAAUAAAUAUGUAUGCAUUUGCAGGUAUACUAGCCCAUAAUUUUCACUAGGCCCAAUUAUUUGAUCACAUGUUCUUGUAACAGCUGUACAUUACGCUAAAAUAUCUCUUGCCACCUGUACAUGCUAUAGUGGUGUACAGCUUUUUCAUCCCUUGCAGAUUACACUUAAAGUGAAGGUAAUUAUGCCACAAAUUACCUUAAAGAAGGCAAUAGAUUUUGAUGACCAGCUGAAACCAUUUGUUUACAGAUUGUACCCAAUUCACUAGUU